GAGUGUUGGGUUAAGUCCCGCAACGAGCGCAACCCCUACUUGUCUAGUCAACAGGUAACGCUGAGGACUCUGGCGGAACUGCCGGUGACAAACCGGAGGAAGGUGGGGAUGACGUCAAGUCAUCAUGGCCCCUAUGUCCAGGGCUACACACGUGCUACAAUGGGCGAUACAGAGUGACGCGAAGCCGCGAGGUGGAGCAAAUCGCAGAAAAUCGCUCUCAGUUCGGAUUGGAGUCUGAAACCCGACUCCAUGAAGGUGGAAUCGCUAGUAAUCGCGCAUCAGCAUGGCGCGGUGAAUACGUUCCCGGGCCUU
rnacentral:rRNA from 1 species